UACGAAGGGGGCUAGCGUUGUUCGGAAUUACUGGGCGUAAAGCGCACGUAGGCGGAUAUUUAAGUCGGGGGUGAAAUCCCGGGGCUCAACCCCGGAACUGCCUUCGAUACUGGGUAUCUUGAGUUCGGAAGAGGUGAGUGGAAUUGCGAGUGUAGAGGUGAAAUUCGUAGAUAUUCGCAGGAACACCAGUGGCGAAGGCGGCUCACUGGUCCGAUACUGACGCUGAGGCACGAAAGCGUGGGGAGCAAACAGG
rnacentral:rRNA from 1 species